rnacentral:rRNA from 1 species
UACGUAGUGAGCAAGCGUUAAUCGGAAUUACUGGGCGUAAAGCGUGCGCAGGCGGUUUUGUAAGUCUGUCGUGAAAGCCCCGGGCUCAACCUGGGAAUUGCGAUGGAGACUGCAAGGCUUGAAUCUGGCAGAGGGGGGUAGAAUUCCACGUGUAGCAGUGAAAUGCGUAGAGAUGUGGAGGAACACCGAUGGCGAAGGCAGCCCACUGGGU